CCCUUAGAUGUCCGGGGCCGCACGCGCGCUACACUGAAGGAAUCAGCGUGGCUUUCUCCCUGACCCGAAAGGGUUGGGAAACCCGUUGAAUCUCCUUCGUGAUAGGGAUUGGGGCUUGAAAUUGUUCCCCAUGAACGAGGAAUUCCUAGUAAACGCAAGUCAUCAGCUUGCAUUGAUUACGUCCCUGCCCUUUGUACACACCGCCCGUCGCACCAAUUGAUUGGAUGACUCGAUGAAAAAUCAGGACUGAGAUUUCUUUUGCUUCAUUGCAGAGGAAGUUUUGGGAAUCUUUUUAAAUCUCGUUAUCUAGAGAUUGGUGAAGUCGUAACA
rnacentral:rRNA from 1 species